rnacentral:tRNA from 2 species
GUUUAGGUAGUUUAAUUCAGAAUAUCAGCUUGUGAUGUUGAAGGUGUAAUAUUAUUUAUUUUAAACC